UCCAUUGUGAGGUGGAAUCUGAAGAAAGUCGGAUGGCAAAUCUCCAGUCUGACAAAUAGAAAUCACAUCAGGCUAUGGCUAAGGAUAAGGUUGCCUGACAAACUGAAGUCCAAUAACUACUCGGAAUUAGCUGUGGUAAAUGUGGUAGAUAGGUGGAGAGAAAGAAACGUGU
rfam:Catonella morbi ATCC 51271 genomic scaffold Scfld2, whole genome shotgun sequence.